AGAGACUUCACAAUGGCGUGAAGAUAGUUAAUCGGACUCAUAUUGAUUGGAGAGAGAGGAAAGUAGUGGCAAAGUGAAGGCUGGAGUGCGGAAGAAAGUGGAAUGCCGCUGAGCCAAAGCCAAACGAGAGACAGUGCAAAUGCGACGGGAGAAACACUGGUGGGCGUACCGGGACAACAACUGCUGAGGAUGACGCAGUUCGACCCUGACAGUGAUGAAUGGCCAUAUUGGAAGAAACGCCUGAAGAACCAUUUGUUUCUAACGAAAGUACCGGACGCAAUGCAGUCUUCAUUCCUGCUGGAUUCGUUGUGCCCGAAGUCGUUCACACUUCCUUGCAAAAUGUGCAAGCCGAAAGAACCGAUGCAAAUGCCAAUAAAGGAACUCUAUGAAAUGCUGGACGCGGCAUACCAGGAGUCGACCUUUUGGAUAGCGCAGCGAAUCAAGUUCUUCAGUGCGAAGCAGAAGGCAGACGAGACGCUGGUACAGUUUGCCAGCGAACUCAGGAGUAAAGUGGAACACUGCGACUUCCCAGAAGACGAACAAGAGAAAAGCCUGAUUGCUGUGUUUGUAAUGGGAAUGAAGGAUGCAGUGACGAGAAAGGUCAUGAGUCUAAAAGACUUCAAGACACUGAAUGAAGCUUUAAAGGAAGCUAAAGAGAAUGAAACGAAGAGAAAGGAAUUAGGAAUUGGAAUUGAAAGUGAAUCGGAUCAUGAAGUGAAGAAAGUCCGAAAAUGGAAAGGAAAGAAAGGAAUGAAAGGAAAGAGAGAUCAGAGUCACGAUAAAGAUGAAUGUUUCCGCUGUGGUAAGUCAAACCACACGUCUAAUGAAUGCUUUUUCAAGGAGAAGGAAUGCUUCAAUUGUGGUCAAAGAGGACAUACAGCCCGAAUGUGUUCAAACAUUGGAAACAAGUACGUCACGGUAGAAAGGGAUCCGUACGACGUGCUGUAAGAGCCAAGGUGAAUUGAAACUGAAGGGCGUACGUACUGGAAAGAACUAACAGAGUGAACUUUAUGUCAAGAAUGGACAUCGUUGCCAAGAAGCGUACUUAAUGCUAUCGAUUGUUGUUGUACUUUUACGACUGAAAAAGUGAAGGGCGAGUUGUAGUGUACGUACAUAUAUAGACUGUACCUAUUGUCAUAUAGCAACGAUGGUUAUUGUGAUACUUCUUACUUGAUGUUAUUACCAGUUAUCAUUCAGUAUCGAUUGUACUGAUGUGUGGUUAUUAAUAAAUAUUAACUACAAUACGGAGAGACUUCACAGUUCACUUUGCGUACACCCGUAACCCCGCCUUCAAUCGGAAGUGCAACCGCCUUGACUGCGGCGCCCCGGAAUAUGUUUCUCCUCCUCCUGGAACGACACCCGCGCCGCUUCCCGCCCGCCAGAUCCGACAUCCGCUUCCCUUUCCUCCGUUGACCAGGACCGUGGCGCCACUCCCCGCCGAGGUCAUUGAGCUCAGGCGGCGCGGUGGGAUGUACUCACUGGGCCAGACGGCGCUCCUGCGAUGCAGGAAGCGUCCAUCCAACGUAUCACAGCGCACCACCACCUCCAUCUGGAAGGGCCGCUGCGACAUGGAGAUUGGCCACCGUCAGGGAGAGAAUGGCGCGCGCCACCCGCUCCCCGGUGCACGCCCGUUUCCCGGCGCUGAAGGUCACGCAGGCCUCGGGGACGCGCAGCUGCCCGUCGACGAUGAAGCGCUCGGGGUGGAAUUUGUGGGGCGCCUCCUGCAGGCUGGGAUCAUAGUGAAUCGAAAACAGGGAUGGCGUAGCCGGCGAUGGUGGUGUCCACUUCCGUGUAGCGCGGGAUGCCGAUGGGGCCGCCGGGGAACAUGCGCAUCGUCUCCAGCACCACGGCUUCCGU